AAAAGGGUUUAUUUCUUGUUAGAUUAAUCAAACUGUAAGUUACAUGAGUGUUAGAGAUUAUUUGCAAAACAUCAGAUCUUUAGAAGGUAUUUUUACAUCUCGUCAUAUUUCUUUCAUAAGGGUUUAUUUCUCGUAAGAUUAAUCAAACUGUAAGUUACAUGAGUGUUAGAUAUUAUUUGCAAAACAUCAGAUCUUUAGAAGGUAUUUUUACAUAUCGUUAUAUUUCUUUCAAAGGGGUAUGCUAUGGAUGCGUGCUAUGAUACAUCGCAUACUCGAGUUGUGCAUCUUCAUCGCACAGUGUAAUAGCUAAGCUGUGAAACUAUGAUACCGUUUCCACUGACAUUAAGCUGCACGAGGAAUAUGUGCAGCUCGCGAUGCGAUGUGAUAUGAUGAUCGAUAAUAGGGAAACCAUCCAUAGCACAGUGCAUCUCAGGUGGAAAAACACCCUAAGAUAUAGUAGGUAAUGAUCUAAUGUUGUUUUCAUUUAGGUAUUUUCGGUUAUUAUUACAGGUGUCCCACUAUUUUUAGUUUUGACCUUUUGGGGCUGGUAUGAAUACAUUCUAGUUCAGUUAAAAAUGGAAGAAAAAGUCAAGGACAACCACGAGAUAAAUAGUGUGAAACAUUAUUACAAUCUAAUAUACUUAUUUUUUUACUAAAUGUAAUAUUUUAGCAAAAUAUGUUUGAAAUCAAAACACUUUUAAAUGAGAAAUAAUAUGUAAUAUCGUUGUGUGAAUCCGAAUGGUUAAUUUAUGAAACAGGUACUAAACAAAAUUAUGUUAAAACCUAUGUAGAUAUAGGUAGUAUCGGUAAGUUAUAUUUUGUUAUGGGUUUGUGGCACCUACUUCUAAACUAU